rnacentral:lncRNA from 1 species
CAAGGUUCCAGAAGUUUCCAUACUAAUAGAAACAGAUACUAAGUGAAGUUUGAGGGGCCCUCACAAUCUGGAUAGAAAACUCUUCAAGUAGAUCUCAACCUUCAGGCUGGAAUAUCUUUGCUUAGCUAUCCCAGCCAGAGGACCAUAGUGGUUGAUUUCAAAAGGAGUUGCAAUUAUUCUAUCUUGUAAAUUCUCUCAUUGUUAAGUUUUGUCACAGUUUGUUGUUGCUACUUUCUUUCAGUUACCUAGAAAAUGUUUUCUCUGAAAACCUCUAUCCAUGCCUCAACAGAUCGGAGAUAAAAAAGGAAUCAUCUUACAAGAUUAUCAAGAAAGAUAAUGGGCUAGGUGUAUCCUUAAAAGUCCCCUCCCUUCAACAAUUAUAUACAGUACACUAUUUGUUGGAAGCUCAGGAGAAAAAGGGCAUUUAAGAGCAUGAGAUUUGGUGGCAGACUGACCUAAUAGUAGAUGGUACCAGUGAGAUCUUGAGCAACGUAAAUGUUUCAACUGAAAAACGAAAACCUUUUUUUGGAAAGAAUCGAAACUAAAAACCCAACUAUUUAAAAAAUGGAAACUUUUGGCCGGGAACGGAGGCUCACACCUAUAA